CAGAAUAUAGUUUAUAUAAAAUAAUUCAUUUACAUUGAAUAGAUUUAAGUUUGAUUCUUUAAGUUCUGA
rnacentral:tRNA from 1 species